CUGUCUUGCCGAUAAUGUAAUAUAUCUUUUCUGUUAUCAGGAGCUACCAAGUCAGUUUAUGCCCCUGAGCCUUUUGACGUUGGACGCUUAUUGCUAGUUGAUAUUAUUUCAAAAGGCCAGGAGAUUACAUUGUCAACCACUGGUCCAAUUGAUCCAGCUGCUGGUUUGGGAACCUAUGUUGAGGCACUUGUGCGAAAGCAUGAUACUGAAUUCAAUGUGGUUGUAACUCAGACUGGCUCAGACCAUCCAACUGAAUCUAUUCAUGUGCUCCAUGUUGGAAAGAUGAG